rnacentral:rRNA from 1 species
UACAGAGGCCCCAAGCGUUACUGAGAAUCACCGGGUUUAAAGGGUGCGUAGGUGGCGCGUUAAGUCCGUUGUGAAAGCCCUGGGCUCAACCCAGGAACUGCUUCGGAUACUGGCGCGCUUGAGGCUAGUAGGGGUCACUGGAACUGACGGUGGAGCGGUGAAAUGCGUAGAUAUCGUCAGGAACGCCAAUGGUGAAGACAGGUGACUGGGCUAGUUCUGACGCUGAGGCACGAAAGCGUGGGGAGCGAACGGG